CUGAAAUUAUAGAAGGGUUGAAGAGGCAUCUUUUUGGUAAUUUAUCAUAAUGUUUAGUAACAGCAAUUUGCAGUAAUGAAAUAACUAAUCUUUACUUCUCCUGGGUAUGUGUUAUAUUUUUCGGCUUAUGCUUUACUUACUUUUUUUUAUUACUCCAUUUCCUAAAUUAUUUAAACUUACAAGGCAAACUCUAACUUAUUAAUGGUAAGGCAGGCUUCGGGAAUGAGAAUCAUGCAAAUAAUGAUUUCAUUUUUUACCCGUGUUUUUAAGGGACUGAGAUACCUUUGUCAUUUACCUGGGAUUUACAGGGACCAAAAAGCUGGACAUCAUUCACCACCGGGAACAGCACCAUGCAGUCCCUGUUUGAGGACAGUGGGACCCAGGAGCGGCUCCUCUCACCUGGAGUGCUGCUGAGGAAGGAUGAUGACAUCGCUGACUCCGUUUUUUCCUUUUUCAGGCAGGUGUCCGUUUGUUCAUUUUGAAACUGAGUCCCAGGGAAAACACCUAGCUGUUCACAUUCUUCAAAACAACAACAAACCAGCACUUUUGUAAAUGGUUUUAAUUUUGACAAAAGAAGGCCUUUUUCUAAGGUGACGUGAACGGGGGAAAUUACCUCAAAUUUAUGACAUUAUUUUCUAGCAUCC
rnacentral:lncRNA from 1 species